CGACGGCGCGGUCGCGGGCAAAAACCGAAAGGUUUUGUCUGAGGAAAGUCCGGGCUCCAACGGACAACGAUAGCGGAUAACGUCCGCCGAGGGCGACCUUAGGGAAAGUGCAACAGAAAAUAACAGCGGAAACGCAACGGUGAAAAGGCGGGGUAAGAGCCCACCGGGGUCUCGGAGACCUGACCCGCAGUGUAAACCCUAUCGGGAGCAAUACCGCAGCGAGGAAGGGAUGUUUCAAAAAAUCCUGACGCGGUCCGUCGUAAUCCUCCGAGGUAGCUAGACGCGAGCGGCAACGUUCGCGGGAGACAGAUGAUCGCGGUUCCCGUUUUUCGGGAGCACAGAACCCGGCUUACAAGUCGACC
rnacentral:RNase_P_RNA from 1 species